rnacentral:misc_RNA from 1 species
GCAGGAACGGCCUCAUGGUCCCGUGGGGGUAUUACACGCUGCACCAGCCGGAGCCCUUCACGGUGGAGGACUACCUGGCCGGACGCUUCAUCAACGAGCCUUUGAACCUGUUCGACAACGACUUGCCGGUCAACGCAUCCGGUUGCUACGUCCUGACGACCGCCGAGCGGGCCAGGGACAUGAAGCAGGCGCCCGUGUACAUCUGGAACCACGCCGAGCACCUGGCCGUCCACCGCAGCAUGGUGCAGACCCUGGACGAGGCGGAAGGAUGGUGCGAUGCCUCGGCGCGCAAAACCCUCGAGGGCGCGGGCCUGGCGAUCGGGGACAUCGACAUCUUCAACCCGUACGACGGUUUCACGCUGUUCGCCCAGCACUGGCUCGAGGCGUUCGGCUGGCACGGCGUGAAAAAGGGCGAAGCGCUGCAGUUCUACCAGGGAGACAUGAGCGUCGAAGGGCCGCACCCUUUCCUGUCCAGCGGCGGAAACAACGGGACCGGACGCACGCGCACGGCGAUCUACACCGACAUCAUCGAGCAGCUCCGGGGCACGGCCGGGAAGCGGCAGGUGCGGGUGCGCGCGGAUACGGGAAUAGCCGGAUGUGUGUUGCCGCAGACGAACGGGCACGUGGUAUUCGGCAAGCAUCUGCCGUGAGGGCCGCGGGAAUGCGGGUUUGUUGCCGCCCCCGGGCAAUGCCGCGGGCGAUUCGCCCGUCGAUGGAGGACCUGGACCGGUGGCGAUUCUUCUGAGUUUCGAUAUCGACGGGACGCUGGAGACCGGUGACCCGCCGGGCGGCAUUACGAUCGAGAUGGUCCGCAAGGCGCACACGCUCGGCUACCUGGUCGGCAGCUGCUCGGACAAGCCCAUCAGCGCGCAGAAGUCGAUGUGGCAGCGCUUCGAUAUCCCGGUUGUCUUCACCGUCGCGAAGCAUCAGCUCCCCAUCGUGCGGGAGGCCCACGCAGCGGAGGCCUACUUUCAUAUCGGGGACAGCGACGUGGACUUCUACGCCGCGAGGAACGCGGGCUUCGGCUUCUGGUGGAACCACGAAGGCGUGGAUGAGCCCUGGCUGCUUCCCGCGGCCGGUCUCUAGGGAGAAAAGCGCAGCUUUUUCCCGGGAGCGCGAGGGGCGAGCAGCCCCUCGCUAAAGGGAGAUAUCGCAUGAAACCACGUGCAUAUGCAAUCGCGGUGCUGGUCAUGCUGUCGCAGCCUUGCGCCGGGCUCGCGCAGCAGACGACGCCGGAAUUCCAGAAGGUCCUCAAGGCGAUGAAGCUCGGGCCCUCGAUGCUUGCGGGAAUCGACCGCGAGCUCGCGGUGCCGCCUGCAUGGGUCGCCGAGGCGAACAAGGAAGGGCUCGCGAAGGUGCGCAUCACCAUCGACGAGAAGGAGUUCACGCAGGUCGCGGCGGUGUUCAACGCGCGCUAUCCGGGGAUCAAGCUCGAGCACGCCCACGGCAUCGGGCAAGCGAGGGUAAUGCAGCCGCUGAUGGCCUACCGGCGCGGAACUAUCCUUUCUGACGUGCUGUUCGCGAUCGAUUCGAACGAGAACGAUUUCCGCGAGGCGAACGCGUUCGUGAGUCUCGCAGAGCUGCCCGCGCUGAGCGGUAUCCCUGCCACGGCCCGCGCCAAGGACCUCAUGCUCGCCUCGCCGCAUCAGCCGCACUACUGUAUGAGCUACAACCCGAAGCGCGUGAAGAAGGAGGAGAUGCCCAGGACCUGGGACGAGCUGGUCGACAAUCCGCGCUGGCACAACGGCAAGGUCGGUAUGGCAAUCAACAUCCACACCUGGGUCGCACCCGUUGCGGGAAUCAAGGGAGACGCGUGGGCGAAGGAGUACAUCCGCAAGAUCUUCACCGUGCUCAAGCCGCAGCAGCGCAAGGAGCAGCUCACCAUGACGGCGCGGCUCAACGCCAUGGGUGAGUACGACAUCGGCGUUCCCGCGGGCGAUUACGGCCUGCGUUCCAUCGAGGACGGCGGCCAUUCCGUCACGCUGCAUUGCCCGGACAUCGUCCCCAAGGGACACACGUCGCUUGCGAUCAUGCGGGGCUCUCCGCGAUCGAACGCGGCCAAGGUGUUCGUCAACUGGGCGCUGAGCAAGGAAUGGCAGAUCACGCUGGUCUGGGCGGCGCAGCUCAUUCCGUCCCACCGCGACCUGCAGAUUCCCGAGAUGCUGCCGUAUCCGAAGGAGGUUCUGGGCAGGAAGGUCGCCUACGCGACCCCGGAGGUGCAGG